rnacentral:rRNA from 1 species
GAUGAACGCUGGCGGCGUGCCUAAUACAUGCAAGUCGAGCGAACGGACGAGAAGCUUGCUUUUCUGAUGUUAGCGGCGGACGGGUGAGUAACACGUGGAUAACCUACCUAUAAGACUGGGAUAACUUCGGGAAACCGGAGCUAAUACCGGAUAAUAUUUUGAACCGCAUGGUUCAAAAGUGAAAGACGGUCUUGCUGUCACUUAUAGAUGGAUCCGCGCUGCAUUAGCUAGUUGGUAAGGUAACGGCUUACCAAGGCAACGAUGCAUAGCCGACCUGAGAGGGUGAUCGGCCACACUGGAACUGAGACACGGUCCAGACUCCUACGGGAGGCAGCAGUAGGGAAUCUUCCGCAAUGGGCGAAAGCCUGACGGAGCAACGCCGCGUGAGUGAUGAAGGUCUUCGGAUUGUAAAACUCUGUUAUUAGGGAAGAACAUAUGUGUAAGUAACUGUGCACAUCUUGACGGUACCUAAUCAGAAAGCCGCGGCUAACUACGUG